rnacentral:rRNA from 1 species
AGGCGAGGCCGAAAGGCGUAGUCGAUGGGAAACAGGUUAAUAUUCCUGUACUUGGUGUUACUGCGAAGGGGGGACGGAGAAGGCUAUGUUGGCCGGGCGACGGUUGUCCCGGUUUAAGCGUGUAGGCUGGUUUUCCAGGCAAAUCCGGAAAAUCAAGGCUGAGGCGUGAUGACGAGGCACUACGGUGCUGAAGCAACAAAUGCCCUGCUUCCAGGAAAAGCCUCUAAGCAUCAGGUAACAUCAAAUCGUACCCCAAACCGACACAGGUGGUCAGGUAGAGAAUACCAAGGCGCUUGAGAGAACUCGGGUGAAGGAACUAGGCAAAAUGGUGCCGUAACUUCGGGAGAAGGCACGCUGAUAUGUAGGUGAAGUCCCUCGCGGAUGGAGCUGAAAUCAGUCGAAGAUACCAGCUGGCUGCAACUGUUUAUUAAAAACACAGCACUGUGCAAACACGAAAGUGGACGUAUACGGUGUGACGCCUGCCCGGUGC